rnacentral:rRNA from 1 species
UACGUAGGGCGCAAGCGUUAUCUGGAAUUACUGGGCGUAAAGGGCUCGUAGGCGCCAACUAAGUCAUACGUGAAAUCCCUCGGCUUAACCGGGGAACUGCGUCUGAUACUGGAUGGCUUGAGUUCGGGAGAGGGAUGCGGAAUUCCAGGUGUAGCGGUGAAAUGCGUAGAUAUCUGGAGGAACACCGGUGGCGAAGGCGGCAUCCUGGACCGAUACUGACGCUGAGGAGCGAAAGCCAGGGGAGCAAACGGG